rnacentral:rRNA from 1 species
AUUGAACGCUGGCGGCAUGCCUUACACAUGCAAGUCGAACGGCAGCACGGGAGCAAUCCUGGUGGCGAGUGGCGAACGGGUGAGUAAUAUAUCGGAACGUGCCCGGUCGUGGGGGAUAACGUAGCGAAAGCUACGCUAAUACCGCAUACGAUCUACGGAUGAAAGCGGGGGAUCGCAAGACCUCGCGCGAUUGGAGCGGCCGAUAUCAGAUUAGGUAGUUGGUGAGGUAAAGGCUCACCAAGCCGACGAUCUGUAGCUGGUCUGAGAGGACGACCAGCCACACUGGGACUGAGACACGGCCCAGACUCCUACGGGAGGCAGCAGUGGGGUAAUUUUGGAACAAGUGGGCGGCAAGCCUGAUCCAGCAAUGCCGCGUGCAGGA